GGGGCUGACUUGGCUUCGACAGGAGCUGUAUCGCUUGGACUGCAUACCGACUGUAUGUCGUUAAACUACACAACAGAAUAAACGCAAAUAACGCAAAUUACGCUCCAGCUUACGCAAAAGUAGCGUGAGUCUUAACUAACCUUAGGAGCUGAUCUCUUUAGAUGUUUCUAGCCCAUCAUUGAGGUCAUCAUUUCUGCUAGAUGCCCCUAUAGAUUACCUUGUCUAUGGGGAAAGAUUUAGGUUGCUUGCUUUUGGGCUUUGGGGAUUUGAACCUAUGGGCAAAAAGACUUUUCAAUUCCCUCUAAGUAUGUAGAGGUUCUUGUUGGGUAUGGCUUUUGGACUGGGGUUCAAUUCCCCACAGCUCCACCA
rnacentral:tmRNA from 1 species